rnacentral:rRNA from 1 species
AGAGUUUGAUCAUGGCUCAGGAUGAACGCUAGCGGCAGGCUUAACACAUGCAAGUCGAGGGGUAACAUGGUCUUCGGACUGAUGACGACCGGCAAACGGGUGCGGAACACGUACGCAACUUACCCUUAUCUGGGAGAUAGCCCGGUGAAAACCGGAUUAAUACCCCAUAGGAUUAGAGAGAGGCAUCUUUUUUUAAUUAAAGAUUCAUUGGAUAAGGAUGGGCGUGCGUAAGAUUAGGUAGUUGGUGGGGUAACGGCUCACCAAGCCGACGAUCUUUAGCUGAUGUGAGAGCAUGAUCAGCCACACGGGCACUGAGACACGGGCCCGACUCCUACGGGAGGCAGCAGUGAGGAAUAUUGGUCAAUGGAGGCAACUCUGAACCAGCCAUGCCGCGUGAAGGACGAAGGCGUUCUGCGUUGUAAACUUCUUUUAUAAGGGAAGAAACCCAUGAUUUCUAUUAUGGCCGACGGUACCUUAUGAAUAAGCACCGGCUAACUCCGUGCCAGCAGCCGCGGUAAUACGGAGGGUGCAAGCGUUAUCCGGAUUUACUGGGUUUAAAGGGUGUGUAGGCGGGCUUGUAAGUCAGGGGUGAAAUCCUACAGCUUAACUGUAGAACUGCCUUUGAUACUAUAAGUCUUGAAUAUUGUUGAGGUGGGCGGAAUACAUCAUGUAGCGGUGAAAUGCUUAGAUAUGAUGUAGAACACCGAUUGCGAAGGCAGCUCACUAAGCAAAUAUUGACGCUGAGGCACGAAAGCGUGGGGAUCAAACAGGAUUAGAUAC